rnacentral:lncRNA from 1 species
UUUCCACUCGUGCGAAUUUGUAGUUCGGAUCUUCUUUGUAAAAAAUGUUGCUAAUAACAAAACGUAAGCAAUAACAGUCUGAGAUCUCUGUCCAUCUGACUAAAAAUGAAAACAAGCUGGAUUCUUAAAGCAAAAAGAUUAACUUUGAGUGCGUUGUUUUUAAGUAACCAUUCCGAACCAAUCAUGAAACCAUAGACAAUGAGGAAUGGCUGGAAACGCCAAUGCAAAAAGCUCUCGUCAUUCGCAACAUCCGUGAUAUGUGCUAUAACCAUAUGAAAACUAACCCUGUAACUUGAAAGGAAUGCAUGUUUUACGCUUUUUUAGAUGAAAUAUUUUAAAACCCCAAAGAAUAUGUCUUCGAAACGGAACUAAGAUGUAGCUAGCUGUUUGCCUGUUUAAUUUUCUGUUUGACAAUUAAGAACGCCUCUUGAAUUUGACCUUGAAUUUAAU